CAGAAGAUAGUUUUAAUAAGAACGCUGGCUUUGGGCGUCGGUGGUGAGAGUUUAAAUCUCUCUUUUCUGG
rnacentral:tRNA from 1 species